rnacentral:rRNA from 1 species
AGAGUUUGAUCAUGGCUCAGGAUGAACGCUAGCGGCAGGCUUAAUACAUGCAAGUCGAGGGGCAGCAUGAGUGUAGCAAUACACUUGAUGGCGACCGGCAAACGGGUGCGGAACACGUACAGAACCUUCCUUCGAGCGGGGAAUAGCCCAGAGAAAUUUGGAUUAAUACCCCAUAGUAUAUUGAAAAGGCAUCUUUUUAAUAUUAAAGAUUUAUCACUUGAAGACGGCUGUGCGCCUGAUUAGGUAGUUGGCGGGGUAAUGGCCCACCAAGCCUGCGAUCAGUAACUGGUGUGAGAGCACGACCAGUCACACGGGCACUGAGACACGGGCCCGACUCCUACGGGAGGCAGCAGUAAGGAAUAUUGGUCAAUGGACGAAAGUCUGAACCAGCCAUGCCGCGUGGAGGAUGAAGGUCCUCUGGAUUGUAAACUUCUUUUAUCUGGGAAGAAAAAAGGGAAUUCUUUCCCGUCUGACGGUACCAGAUGAAUAAGCACCGGCUAACUCCGUGCCAGCAGCCGCGGUAAUACGGAGGGUGCAAGCGUUAUCCGGAUUCACUGGGUUUAAAGGGUGCGUAGGUGGGUUGCCAAGUCCGUGGUGAAAUCUCCGAGCUUAACUUGGAAAUUGCCGUGGAUACUGGUAGUCUUGAAUACCGUGGAGGUCAGCGGAAUAUGUCAUGUAGCGGUGAAAUGCUUAGAUAUGACAUAGAACACCGAUUGCGAAGGCAGCUGGCUACACGAAUAUUGACACUGAGGCACGAAAGCGUGGGGAUCAAACAGGAUUAGAUACCCUAGUAGUCC